rnacentral:rRNA from 1 species
UCCUACGGGGGGCAGCAGUGAGGAAUAUUGGUCAAUGGUCGGGAGACUGAACCAGCCAAGCCGCGUGAGGGAUGAAGGUACAGAGUAUCGUAAACCUCUUUUGUCAGGGAACAAAGGCGGGGACGUGUCCCCGGAUGAGUGUACCUGAAGAAUAAGCAUCGGCUAACUCCGUGCCAGCAGCCGCGGUAAUACGGAGGAUGCGAGCGUUAUCCGGAUUUAUUGGGUUUAAAGGGUGCGUAGGCGGAUUUUUAAGUCAGCGGUAAAAUGUCCGGGCUCAACCCUGGCCGGCCGUUGAAACUGGGGAU